GAUGAACGCUGGCGGCGUGCCUAAUACAUGCAAGUCGAGCGAACAGAUAAGGAGCUUGCUCCUUUGACGUUAGCGGCGGACGGGUGAGUAACACGUGGGUCACCUACCUAUAUGACUGGAAUAACUACGGGAAACCGGGGCUAAUGCCGGAUAACAUUUAGAACCGCAUGGUUCUAAAGUGAAAGAUGGUUUUGCUAUCACUACUAGAUGGACCCGCGCCGUAUUAGCUGGUUGGUAAGGUAACGGGUUUCCAAGGCAACGAUACGUAGCCGACCUGUGAGGCUGAUCGGCCACAUUGGAACUGAGACACGGUCCUGACUCCUACGGGAGGCAGCAGUAGGGAAUCGUCCGCAGUGGGCGGAAGCCUGACGGAGCAACGCCGCGUGAGUGAUGAAGGUCUUCGGAGCGUAAAACUCUGUUAUUAGGGAAGAACAAAUGUGGAAUUAACUGAGCACGUCUUGACGGUACCUAAUCAGAAAGCCACGGCUAACUACGUG
rnacentral:rRNA from 1 species